AGUCCUAACUCCCAGGACCUAAGAAUGUGACCUUGUUUGGAAAUAGGGUCAUUGUUGAUGUAAUUAAACUGAAGAUGAGGUCAUACUGGAGUAGGGUGGGCCCCUGAUCCAAAGAGGACAGGUGUCUUUGAAGAAAGGGGAAAUGUAGACAUAGCCAUGCAUGGGUAGAGCACCAUGGGACACAAGAAGGCAGAGACCGGGAGGAUGAAUCUACAAGCUGAGGAAUGCUAAAGAUUGCCAGCAAACCUCCAGAAGCCAGGUGACUCCUAUGGAUCUGAAAAGAUGAUUGUCAUGUCCCAUCCCAACUUCCAACAUGCCAUGUACAGCAGGGACUGGAUACCUCACAAAAAACUCUCAUUCAAAAAAGGGCAAGGAGCUUCCCCAGCAGUCCUUGUGCAGUGGUGGUGGCAGAGGUUGGUUCUGUCUUCCUCACUUCCAGUGGAGAUCAUUUUACCUCUGGCACAGGUGUGCUGGUCACACAGAGCCUAGGGGCCUUGCUGAAAUGGAUCAGAGACUCCAGGGAGCAACCUGGCCCUUUCUGACAUGUUGAGGACAUAGUGAGAAGACAACUCUCUAUGAACCAGAGUGGAUUCUCACCAGACACUGGAUCUACCUACACUUUGAUCUAGGACUUUCCAACUUCCAGAACUGUGAGAAAUAAGUUUCUACUGUUUAAGC